UAUCAUCAUUUACUAGUGUUCCGUUAGCAAACAUCGAUAACGCAGGCAAGAUCACCACUCCUUUAUCACAGCGGCGGCCUUAGGGGAUGGCGAACAGCAAUGCUAUUCACUAAAAAUCUACCGCAACGCUGCGCCCGCCGACGAGCUCUAGGCUGAUCAGCCUUGCGAACGACCGUGGCUACAGCGCUGCGGUAAUUGGUAUUCACUAACGUGUCAAACCUCAUCGACGAACUGUAGGCUGUGAUAACUCGAGGCUGUGCGCACGGACGAGAUAGGGCUUGCAACAAAAACCGUAAAAUGAAACCGAUAACUGUAGAAAUAUAAUAUUUUAUUGACAAAUGGAAUGUUUUAUUCAGUUUAGAAUGUUAUUUAAAUAAAUAUUAUAUAAAAUAAACAUAAAUUUAUACAUCAAACAUUUGAUUUUGUUUUUUAAAGUUAAGAUUUGUUUGAAUACCCUUGCUUCCAUUGCCGUAAAAUAAACAAAUAACACUUAUACGUAGGUACGUAGAGAGUAUUAUAUUCCUUGUACUUAACAUUCCAGAGGCGCACUUUUUGUAUUUGUUUAUUCUCUUUUAAAAAUAAUUAAUAAAAUUAACGUAACUUUACCAACGUUUUAUAAGUUUGGAUGUAUCUAUCAAAUACGUCCACGCCGUCAUUUGACUGACAGUAUCCCGAUGACACUUAUCUCCUUCACAAUAGCAGCCUCAACUAGAAAGAGAGUAGUCUCACAAAGAUUUGUUGCCACUGAAGAGCACCGAGUAGAGACAGAACAAAUUUUGAUAGAGAAUCAGACAACAUUAGUUCAUAUCUUAUAGCUAAUGAAUGAGAUAUGACUAAAUUAAAUUUAAAAUAUUAUAAAUGGUAAUUCUUUAUGAUUCUACCAUCCAUUGUGAAGAAGGGGAGAAACCUCAAUUUUGGUUUUUAAAAUACUAAUAGAUUUUACAAUAAUACAUUUCUAAAAAUAUACACUGCCAAACAUAACAAGAGUUAUUGGAAUUAUUAGUUAAAUCAAGUUCAUUAUUGAAAAUAUAAGAUUAAAUUAUGUCAUUUAAUAGUCAUUAGUAAUUUUGAAAUAUAAGUUUCAUCUUAUAUAAUUUUCAAAUAAAAACACAAUUACAAUAAAAUUUUAUAAUUAUAAACUUGUUUCAAUUUCAAAUAAAUAAUUUUUAAUGAA